UUCAGCUCUUUAUUAAUACAAGAGUGCACACGCUGAAAUGUCUCGCCUUCUAUACUAAUCAUUGAUAUUAUGUUGAUAGUCUUAAGUAUAAAUCUAAGCUUUAUUACAACUGUCACAUAAACUUUACAUUAACCAAGAUAACUAAACAAAGACCAAUGAACCUUGAAAAAGAGGUCCAGGUCAGAUGAACCAUGCCAGGCAGACAGGUACAGCUAACAAUGCUUCUAUACAACAUAUAUAGUUGACACAUUACUUAUAGUUUAAGAAAAAUAGACCAAAACACAAAAAACUUAACACUGUGCAAUGAACCGUGAAAAUGAGGUCACGGUUAAAUAAAACCUGC
rnacentral:lncRNA from 1 species